AGGGGCGUGCGCCGGGGGCAGGCGGCUCCCAGCCAGCCGCUGCUCGACGAGGGGCCGGAGGCGGUGGAGGCGGAAGGCGUCCCGGAGGCAGGCGGGCGGCGGCAGGCGGGGGCGGUGCUGCUCAUGUCUGGACAGCCCCCGGCCAUCGACCUGCUGCAGCUGCUGAGCCAGGGAGCAAUGGCGCGCGCAGCGGCCGAGUGACGAACUACGUCUGCUGAGGGGAAGUCCCGCGCCAGCGGAGCCAGUGCUGCCAUAAUAUAAAAAGCCGAAAGGGGAAAAACAAAACGACGGCUUUCAACGUCUCUGCGGCCUCCCAGCGUUCCCCCCAGAUCUUCCCAACAAACGUCCCAAAAAGUAGGAUAAAUAGAAAAAAAAGUAAUGAAACCGAACUACCCUCCCGACACCUCAUUACCACGAAGCCACUCUGCAAACCCCUGCAACACAACCCGACCCUGCGUGAAUGUAUUCUGCAGUAUCGGCGCUAUCUAGAGAUCUCUUAACCGUGUUUACUUGUACCUGCGUUACCUUUCUAGUUGUCGCGCUGAUGUAUCCUUUCGCGUACGUGU